rnacentral:rRNA from 1 species
CAAAAACAUGUCCUAUUGAUUAAAUAUUAGGUCUAGCCUGCCCACUGAUAAUAUAUUAAAUGGCCGCAGUAUUUUAACUGUGCAAAGGUAGCAUAAUCAUUAGUCUUUUAAUUGAAGGCUGGUAUGAAUGGUUGGACGAAGCAUUAACUGUCUCAUAUUUAAUUUAUAGAAUUUUAUUUUUUAGUUAAAAAGCUAAAAUAAUAUUGAAAGACGAGAAGACCCUAUAGAUCUUUAUAAAUUUUUUUUUUGUUAAUAUUUAGAAGUUUAGUUUAUUAAAAAUAUUUAUUUAUUUUAUUGGGGUGAUAUUAAAAUUUAAUAAACUUUUAAUUUAUUAUUUACAUUAAUGUAUGGUUGUAUGAUCCACUAUUAGUGAUUAUAAGAUUAAGUUACCUUAGGGAUAACAGCGUAAUCUUUUUGGAGAGUUCUUAUCGAUAAAAAGGGUUGCGACCUCGAUGUUGGACUAAAAUUAAUAUUGGGUGUAGCAGUUCAAUAAUUAAGUCUGUUCGACUUUUAAUUUUUUACAUGAUCU